rnacentral:rRNA from 1 species
GAUGAACGCUGGCGGCGUGCCUAAUACAUGCAAGUCGAGCGAACAGAUGAGAAGCUUGCUUCUCUGAUGUUAGCGGCGGACGGGUGAGGAACACGUGGGUAACCUACCUAUAAGACUGGGAUAACUCCGGGAAACCGGGGCUAAUACCGGAUAAUAUUUUGAACCGCAUGGUUCAAUAGUGAAAGACGGUUUCGGCUGUCACUUAUAGAUGGACCCGCGCCGUAUUAGCUAGUUGGUAAGGUAACGGCUUACCAAGGCGACGAUAAGUAGCCGACCUGAGAGGGGGAUCGGCCACACUGGAACUGAGACACGGUCCAGACGCCUACGGGAGGCAGCAGGAGGGAAUCUUCCGCAAUGGGCGAAAGCCUGACGGAGCAACGCCGCGUGAGUGAUGAAGGUCUUCGGAUAGUAAAACUCUGUUGUUAGCGAAGAACAAAUUUGUUAGUAACUGAACAAGUCUUGACGGUACCUAACCAGAAAGCCACGGCUAACUACGUGCCAGCCGCCGCAGUAA